GCGCGGGUGGUGAAAUUGGCAGACACGCCAGCUUGAGGGGCUGGUUCCGCAAGGAGUGCAGGUUCAAAUCCUGUCCCGCGCA
rnacentral:tRNA from 2 species